ACUGUUUUAACUGUCAGCGAACGAGCAUUAAUCCUUUUUAGUUACCUUGUCUUGUGGCUACAUUUUUUUGUUCGACUAUUAAGAAUGUUGUUGUACAACAUGGAACACAUCAAUUUGUUGCUUUAACUGUACACGAAGAAGAAGCCAUUGGAUGUUAAACGAGCUCACGAGUGAAGUAAUAAUUACAUGUUACUAAUUAUAGCGUAUUUAUGGGGUAUAGCAAAUUGAUUAUUAAAUUCAAUUAAUUUUCAUUUUUCACGCCUGGUUAAUAUUGAAUCGGAACUAUUGAUCCUGUUUCGUAAAUAUUUUUUUUUGGGAUUAUAGAAAAAUAAAAAAAUUAUCUCGUAGAUCAGGUAGAUACUGAUAGCAUUGUCGUCGAGAAUAAACCGCUAUAUCUUCUAUACAGUCUCAUCAGCUAGUGACAAUUGGUGGGAAAUGAAGCGUGUUAUGAAGUAUUUCGUUUAAACGAUCCAGAAAUCAAGUUUACGGAAACGACAGGAAGAGGAAUCAAAGAAAACCGGAAAAGGUUUAACAACAUUUCGAGCACGUAGACACACGGCCAAUUAUAAUUGCGGUUUGAUGUUUUUGGCGUUCGUAGUCGAAGCCAUCGUCGGCUGACUAUGCUUCGUUCUUCGUUUCUUUGAAACGACUUGACUCGUACAGACAAGGAUAAGAACAUAGCCUUAGAAUAGCCUAUGAAGAGUGAAUCUAACGGUAAAUCUGCGACCGGAAGUUACCUGCCCGGGCACCGCGUCGUCGUCUUCGUCGUCGUCGUCGUUUCCAAAGCCAAAGGACUUUAACCUCGGACUUGACGAGGUUACUAUUUGUGGCUAUAGCUAGACUACUGUGUCGACAGCACUUAAUAUCGUAUGUUCAAUAAAAGUUUAUAGAGGGGGAUACAAUUUUAUUUUUUUCUUAUAUUUUAUUGAUUGCUGAUUAAUUAAAGUUACAUAAAUUCUA